rnacentral:lncRNA from 1 species
GGACCGCGUCUGUUCGUGGAAAAUUUUGCUGCAGGUGUCAGAAGCCUGCGUUGAGCUCCGCUCAGAACCCAGGGAACUCCCUCAGAAGAGGAGCCAGAAAGAAUGUAAGAGCAGACAGGAUGGAGGACUGCAAGAAAGCAAGGCCCUCUAAAUCAACAUGAGCAGAGCUCAUAUGAACUCACAGAGACUGAGGCGGCAUGCACAGGGCCUGCAUGAGUCUGCACCAGGUCCUCUGCACAUAUAUUAUGGCUUCUACUUUAAUGGGAUUCCUGAUGAGCAAAUGAAUGGGUCUUUGAUUCUUGUGCCUUCUGUUGGGCUCUUUUCCUUCUCUUACCCAACUUUGAUGUGAUAGUUUUUGUCUUAUUAUAUUUGAUUAUGUUGUAUUUUA